GGUAGUGGUAGCUUAGUGGUUAAGAUGUUGGAUUUUUGAUCGGAAGGUUGAGAGUUCAAAUCCCAGCACCA